UCCAGGGUAACCUAGUGGACAUAGCAUCUUCCCGGUAAGCGGAAAAAUGUGGGUUCGAUUCCCAUCCCUGGAU
rnacentral:tRNA from 1 species